ensembl:lncRNA
CGGCAGCCGGGGCUGAGUGCGGUGGCGCAGAGCUGAGUGUUGUCCGCCGGAGCUGCGGAGAAAGCAGACCUUCCAAUACCUGUAAGAUGUUUUCCAUCCUUUCCCUUCACAAGAACAGGGUCUUACAGUGGCAUAUUUUCUUUAUAAUGGAGACCCUGACAGAAGUGAGUGGCUGCGGAUGGGUCUGACUGAAAGGCUCUUCAGUGGAUUUUCCCAUCAGCCUUCUCCUCAACCCGUCCGUGAGCCACUUGUCCCCCAGUUAUUUUGAGGCAAGAAUGGGUUUGAGGAAAGGAGAAAGACAGACGAGAGCUGGAAGGAAUAUAAAAAUGCAAAAUGAAACACACAAGCAAAGGAGCAGGAUAAAGCACACAAGCAAAGGAGCAGGAGACAGAAGACCAACCUACAGUCCUUCCAACCUUCCUCCUGGGAGCCUCAGGGGGACCAGGCACUACAGGUUGGCAACAAGGUGAUUUUUCAAUAUGGGUUAAUGUCAGACAGUAACUUAAAAAGUAAGGAUCUAUCACACCCAAAGAGUUUCCACUUUAAAUGCAUGCUGAUCUCUCAACUAAACAUACUUUUUGCACUGAGGAAGCAAUCUGAGGACUUUUUUUUUUUUUUUUAAUAUAUAUAUUAUUUUAAUGUUGUUUCUCUGGAAAGACAGAAUACAGAUUUGUUGUUAAUGAGUAAAUUAAUCUAUUCUGGUUAAAUCCCAGAUUUGCUAUUGAUACUUUUUUAUAUUUCAAAUUCAAAGAAGGCCAAAAAUGAAUUUUAAAAUAUUAAUUGAUUAUUUUUCCUAUUAGUAGCUAAUGUCUAUAUAGAAAAUAAUCAUUUUAGUUCCAUCCAUUUUGAUGACCCAGAUGUUUUCCUAAUUGUACUAAAAUGAAUUCUUUAUUCUAAGAAGGCUCACACCCCAUAUAUUUCUUUCUAACUUCUCUUUUAAAGCAGGUAGAAUGAAGGGAAAGCAUAGCUGUUUUUUUGCACUUCCAUACUGGUUAUGACUGAAACUUGAAUCUUGGAUGCAAAAAAGUUAUAUGAAUACAAAACGUAAACAUUUAGAAAAGAUCUUGCAUAGGUUAAAAGAUCUACAGAGGGUUAACUCCGAUUUUUAUGAUGAAAGUAAAAUUGCUUUCAGCAUAAUCACCUAUAAAAUUCAUAUCCUAAAAUACACUGAUUUUCAGAUAGGUGAAAAUAUGCUCAAACACUGCCCAAACAGUAAGGUCCCGGAUGUUCAAAGUGCCCAGCGUUGGCCUAGUUUUUGAAGCAGAUGAGAAUAGACGCAGGCUUUUGAAAAUACACAUGCUAAAAAAACAGAUAUGCUUUUUUUUUUUUUUUUUUUUUUUAAUGUUACAGCAGAUAUUUAAAGAGAAUAAAAGAGCCUACAGAUUGCUUACCCCUAUUUUUGGCAUGAUCCAUUUACAGGCCACCACAAGGCAAACGAGAUAGUUACGUCAGAUAACAAAAACAGUCUCCAAAAGCAGAAGUGAAUAUCCAUGCUCUCCUUUCAUUAAAAAAGCUCUCCUAUGAAGUUAUUAACACCGCUUUAAUUUGUGCAGUUAAUUUUUCUUUCCAGUUCAUAGUCUGGUCCCAGGGGAGGAAAAGUGUCCUCAGUUCAACCCCUUGUAUGAGGCAGGCAGAUUUAGCAAGUUUUGAUCUGACAACGUACUAACGCAGAUACUUCAGAUUAAACUUGGUUAUGUGUUUUUCUGAAUUAAAAUAUGUUUCAGGAUGCUUAUUUUGCUACAAUUCUGAUGUUCUCCUGUACUGAUUGAUCUAAUAGAGCAAAUGGCAUUGUUUUCAAUGUGCCUUUUAUUUUAUCUGUAAACUUUAUCUGUAAGUUAUGUAUGAUGUAUAAAUAUUUUUACAACAGACAUAAGUUAACUAAUAAAAAAUGCCUAAUUUCAUUGCUAUUUUUUAAAAUAUCCACUACAAUAAGAUAUAACUACAGUUGAAUCCAGGAUGUAUCUCCUAGAUAUAGAGAUAAAAUUGCUGAGCAACUCAUAUUUGUGGAUAAUGUGCAAAGAAAAGCUCUCAUAAGAUUUAUUUGAAAAUAAUAAUUUCUGAUGUAAAGUCAGAUUCUUGCGAUGUGUACCAUCCCUUGUUAGUGUCAUCAUGUAUCAUUCCAGCAUAAAAGAAGGUAGGGUUAAAUAUUUUUAGUAUUAAAUAGCUCAGUGAGUACUAACUAUCUCAGUAUCUCCGCCAUAACUAGCUCGUGGAUGUAUAAGUGAAAGACAGACCAAGGAUCUAAAACUCCUUUAAAUCUCUGGUUUCCAGGAUGGCAAGUUUUACCUGACUCACUGCAAAUACUCUCUGCUGGAAUUUUACCCUGAAAUCCUGAGAAUAGGAAAAUGUUUUAAAAGCCCACUAGGACACAGUGUGGCGUAAAGAUGCCAGAGCUAGCUUUAAAUGAAUUAUUUUGGGUACUGGCAACAGUCAAGCUGUGAUAGCAGAGAGCUAACUUUGUGUAAGAAGUUUAUUUUGCUGCAUGGGCAAGUUUAGCACCCUGUCCUGCACUACAUGCAGCUAUUAUAAGAUGGCUGCAACGUAACAUUUGCAUAAUACCUCUCAUGCAAAUAUAUCUAACACAGCGGAGGCACUUGGCAAAAAGGAG